GACGAACCGUCCGAACGUUAUUCGGAAUUACUGGGCUUAAAGGGUGCGUAGGCGGUGCUACAAGUCGGGUGUGAAAUCCCUCAGCUUAACUGAGGAACUGCGCCCGAAACUGUAGUGCUGGAGUGAGGCAGGGGUGAGCGGAACUGAUGGUGGAGCGGUGAAAUGUGUUGAUAUCAUCAGGAACACCGGUGGCGAAGGCGGCUCACUGGGCCUUUACUGACGCUGAGGCACGAAAGCUAGGGGAGCAAACGGG
rnacentral:rRNA from 1 species